GACGAACGCUGGCGGCGUGCUUAACACAUGCAAGUCGAACGGUGAACCAGGGCUUGCCCUGGGGAUCAGUGGCGAACGGGUGAGUAACACGUGGGCAACCUGCCCCUGACUCUGGGAUAACUCCUCGAAAGAGGUGCUAAUACCGGAUACGACCAUUUCGGGCAUCCGAUGGUGGUGGAAAGAAUUUUGGUCAGGGAUGGGCCCGCGGCCUAUCAGCUUGUUGGUGGGGUAACGGCCCACCAAGGCGACGACGGGUAGCCGGCCUGAGAGGGCGACCGGCCACACUGGGACUGAGACACGGCCCAGACUCCUACGGGAGGCAGCAGUGGGGAAUAUUGCGCAAUGGGCGAAAGCCUGACGCAGCGACGCCGCGUGAGGGACGACGGCCUUCGGGUUGUAAACCUCUUCAGCAGGACGAAGCGAAAGUGACGGUACCUGCAGAAGAAGCACCGGCUAACUACGUG
rnacentral:rRNA from 1 species